GACCCGGUAGCUCAGUUGGUAGAGCACGCGGCUUUUAACCGCUAGGUCGUGGGUUCGAGUCCCACCCGGGUCA
rnacentral:tRNA from 1 species